rnacentral:rRNA from 1 species
GAUCCUGGCUCAGGAUGAACGCUAGCUACAGGCUUAACACAUGCAAGUCGAGGGGAAACGACAUCGAAAGCUUGCUUUUGAUGGGCGUCGACCGGCGCACGGGUGAGUAACGCGUAUCCAACCUGCCCAUCACUUGGGGAUAACCUUGCGAAAGUAAGACUAAUACCCAAUGAUAUCUCUAGAAGACACCUGAAGAGAUAAAGAUUAUCGGUGAUGGAUGGGGAGUGCGU